rnacentral:rRNA from 1 species
AUUGAACGCUGGCGGCAUGCUUUACACAUGCAAGUCGAACGGCAGCGCGGGCUUCGGCCUGGCGGCGCGUGGCGAACGGGUGAGUAAUGCAUCGGAACGUGCCCAGUAGUGGGGGAUAGCCCGGCGAAAGCCGGAUUAAUACCGCAUACGACCUGAGGGUGAAAGCGGGGGACCGAAAGGCCUAGCGCUAUUUGCGCGGCCGAUGUCGGAUUAGCUAGUUGGUGGGGUAAAGGCUUACCAAGGCGACGAUCCGUAGCUGAUCUGAGAGGACGACCGGCCACACUGGGACUGAGACACGGCCCAGACUCCUACGGGAGGCAGCAGUGGGGAAUUUUGGACAAUGGGGGCAACCCUGAUCCAGCCAUGCCGCGUGCGGGAAGAAGGCCUUCGGGUUGUAAAACGCUUUUGUUCGGGAAGAAAACCUCUGGGCUAAUACCCCGGGGGGAUGACGGUACCGGAAGAAUAAGCACCGGCUAACUACGUG